rnacentral:lncRNA from 1 species
AAUUGGUUUUUAAUUAUUAUUAUUAUUUUUUUUUUUUUUUUUCUUCCGCCUAAUUUUUUUUCUUGCGUAUUAUUGAUGUUUCAAAAGAUGUCGCUUAGAUAUUUGGAAUAUGGUAUCGUAUAGUUUAUACGCUUUAAAAAAUUUACAACUGUGUAAACAAAAUACUUUACGUUGUAAGAGUUAUCUCCCCAAACACUGUUUUUCUUGUGGCCACUACUCCUUCGCAACCGUUAAAGAUUACGACAAAUUUAUUUUACCAAAUUGCUCGUUACAUCUUCAGGAUUAGGAUAUUCAUUUGGACCGAAGCUUUACGGAGACUCCAUAUGAGAGUUAUUCCCCCUUUUCCCUUAAAUUAAGUGAUAUGCAUUUCUAAAUGGUAAACCAUAAGUGAUAAAGACAUAGGGUCUUUAGAUUUGGGGUCCUUGGUCGAAAA